GCGCAUUCCUCUCAUAAAUGCUUCUUCUUUCACUAUCGUCCGUCCUCUUCAAUUUUGAUCUAAACAUGUCUACCUAAGUGUACACCAUAUUUCGGUUCCAAGUUGUUGAUCCUUGAUAGAGAUAGAGAUAGAGAUCUGGUUAAAAAAAACAAAACAAAAAGAUGGAGAUGGAGCAAUGGACCAGCCACCACACAGAUUUUCACUUAUGUCGAGCUUGAUAAUUUAGUAUUGCCAUCUAUGCCCGUUUCCUUUUUGUUUUUGUCUUUUCUGCAUAUAUAUUUUUUUCAGGUUCGACUUAAGGGCUUCUUAUUUAUUUAUAUUUAUAGGUAU
rnacentral:misc_RNA from 1 species